CGGGGUGCACCAGGCGCGAAAACUUUGCAAUGCGGGAAACCGUGACAAGGGAACUCUGAGUGCCCGUUAAAUCGGGCUGUCCAUCGGUUUAAAUAACCGGUGAAGAAAGGGCCGGGCAAGACCGGUGCCAGCCGCCGCGGUAAUACCGGCGGCUCGAGUGGUGGCCACUAUUACUGGGCUUAAAGCGUUCGUAGCUGGUUUGUUAAGUCUCUGGGGAAAUCUUCCGGCUUAACCGGAAGGCGUCUCAGGGAUACUGGCAGACUAGGGACCGGGAGAGGUGAGAGGUACUCCAGGGGUAGGAGUGAAAUCCUGUAAUCCUUGGGGGACCACCUGUGGCGAAGGCGUCUCACCAGAACGGCUCCGACAGUGAGGGACGAAAGCUGGGGGAGCAAACCGGAUUAGAUACCCGGGUAGUCCCAGCUGUAAACGAUGCGCGUUAGGUGUAUCGGUGACCACGAGUCACCGAGGUGCCGAAGAGAAAUCGUGAAACGUGCCGCCUGGGAAGUACGGUCGCAAGGCUGAAACUUAAAGGAAUUGGCGGGGGAGCACAAGGGCGAAUCGC
rnacentral:rRNA from 1 species